rnacentral:rRNA from 1 species
ACGGGAGGCAGCAGUGGGGAAUAUUGGACAAUGGGCGAAAGCCUGAUCCAGCCAUGCCGCGUGUGUGAAGAAGGUCUUAGGAUCGUAAAGCACUUUAAGUUGGGAGGAAGGGCAGUAACUUAAUACGUUGCUGUUUUGACGUUACCGACAGAAUAAGCACCGGCUAACUCUGUGCCAGCAGCCGCGGUAAUACAGAGGGUGCAAGCGUUAAUCGGAAUUACUGGGCGUAAAGCGCGCGUAGGUGGUUCGUUAAGUUGGAUGUGAAAUCCCCGGGCUCAACCUGGGAACUGCAUUCAAAACUGUCGAGCUAGAGUAUGGUAGAGGGUGGUGGAAUUUCCUGUGUAGCGGUGAAAUGCGUAGAUAUAGGAAGGAACACCAGUGGCGAAGGCGGCCACCUGGCCCAAUACUGACGCUGAGGCACGAAAGCGUGGGGAGCAAACAGGAUUAGAUACCCUGGUAGUC